rnacentral:lncRNA from 1 species
AAGGGGACGAAUGCAUAAUUAUGAGAACUCAAGAUUCGGUGCUGGGCCUUACCUCUUUUUUCCCAGUUGCUUCUUUGGGGUCUUCUCGAUUCCAUGUAGAAAGAAAGGACUCUCAGAAUAUACACUGUGUUACUAUACUGAAUUGUGUUCGGAUUUUAAAGUCCUGCCGAUUUCUGAAGGAUAUCAUAAGUAAUGUUACACGUCAUGCAAACGUAGUUGUUAUCGAUUAGCAGUUUGGUUAUACGUCAUGCAAACGUACUGUUGUCGAUUAGCAGUUUGUGUCGUCAUAAAUCUGAAACAUCAAUAAAUAUAAUCG